AGCUCCCAGCCAGGGAACUCCACCAGCCUAUUUAUCUGAGCCCCGGGAAAGCUCCGUGACGUAGCUGCCCAUAUAUGGACAGACAAAGCCCAGCCGAAGGGGCGCGACGUCACAAUGGAAGCUCCUCACAAUGGAACAUUAGAAAGCAGGAAGCGGGCCGCAGCCAACAUGCGGCGCCCGCAAAGCUCGCAGAUCUUAAAAAAAUGAGAGAAAGAGAGAAAUGAAAGAGACGAAAGAAGGAAAAUUCGAGAGGAGAGAGGAAAGAGGGAAGCAACUGAACGCAACGCGUAAAGCGCGCAGCGCGGAGUUGAAAAAGCAAUAACCUCCUGUGUGUUUAUUUUUGGUCCGCACAACCAGAGCGCGCUUGUGUGGCGGGGGGCAGGGGGCCGGAGUUCUUCGCGAGUGGCCGCCAACAGCCCAAGCAGGGAGAAAGGGAAUUGGAAACCCUCGGCGAGGUCCCUUUGCAACCUGCGAACUUCUGGGGAACCCGGAAGGCGUGCGCUCCGACCCCGCUCCCGCCGCUGCCCUCGCGUCUAAGACCCUGCCUGAGCCUGGGGAGAAAGGGAGCGCGUCCCUUCGAGGAGGAGCCCUGCGUGUCAGGGACCGCGGGUCCAGGAUCCCCACCCCUCCCUCUGACUCUCCGCCCACACCCCCGCUGCUCCCCGGCCGCUGACCCGGCGCUGACUCCCUGCUGAGCGCAGUGGCCCGGAGCCUCGUAGCUGCAGCGCGGCUGCGCGGAGGCGAGCACCCAGCACUUUUGGGGGUCGAGGAUGUGCGGUCUGGGUGGUAAGGCAGUAGGACUAAAGUUGAGGGGAUAGGGGACGCGUGCACCAAAUCCCUGAUAAUUCCCUAACGGUUCCAAAGCACCUCCUUUGGCCACGGGAUGGCAGGAGGGCCCAGCAGGCCCAGGCGCAGUCGCUGUCUGUGGCUGCCUGCGAAGGGCCCGCCACGGAGUUGCAGCAGGAGUGUGCCGAACCCACAGUCUCCGAGCCACCUCCUCUAGUCCCUCCCCUCCCCCUCGCUUCCACAGGGCUGUCCCCAUCGCUGCCUGCCGGCGCCCUGCAGUCAGGGGCCUCCCGGUUGCCGACCGGGACGCUGUCACCUCCCGGAGCCUCAGCAGAUCCCGGGGGCGGCUGCUGCGUUCCCCGAGGCCUGCUCAGGGAGCGCGCGCGGCCGGGCCGCGGGAGAGCCGGAGCAGAGAAAGGGAGCGUGGGGGAGCGACCCCGAAUCACACCGGCACCGGCUUGGCGUGGGAGGAUUCCCUCCUCGGUGGCCGCGUGGGCGCGGUGAAUCCCGCGUCCCCCCCCUUCCCCACGCUGGGGAGUCGGGGUUGGGGGAACGUGCAUUUCUCAGGGGGAGUGGGAGUGUUGACAAGGAGGAAGAGAGGAUCCCCGGGCCUCACUCCGUGGGAGGGCCACGCGGGCCGGGGACGUGUGGGAGGAACUCCCGAGCUGCACAUCGUGGUGGGGGUGGAUGACAACCUCGCUCCCCUCCCCUCCGCGCGGCGGAGAACUGGGGGUGGGGGGAUGGGGGGCAGCCCCUAGCCCCACUCCUGCAAAGUACAUCAGACACCUGGAGAG
rnacentral:lncRNA from 12 species